rnacentral:lncRNA from 1 species
GGGCCAGGCCCGCAUGGGUCUCCAGGGCCGUGCUCAGGGGCGUGGCCUUUUGCAGUGGGGGCAUGGCUGCCGCCCGGCCCGCAGGCCAUGUGGCCCCCGCUGUUGCUGCUGCUGCUGCUGCUCCCGGCCGCCCCGGUCCCCACCGCCAAGGCCGCUCCCCUCCCAGAUGCUAACACCCAGGAAGGCCUUCAGAACCUGCUUCAAGGAGUCCAGGCUGGCGGAGACGGAGAGCUGCAGGCCGACUCACACCUGGCCCCGGGCUCUGGCUGUAAUAAUGGGGCUGUGGUGGCCACGCGACCAGAAAGCCGGGGAGGAAGACCUGCGGCUCCGUGAGAGGCAUCCAGGGCUGCAGGCCACGGCGACAGGCUCCGGGGAACAUGGGGCUUCCCCUGUUCCCUCCCAAGGAGUGUGGGCCUCAACGCAUUGACAGGGGACAGCUGUGUGCCCU